AAGAGACAGCAGUAGCCGCGGGAAUACGGAGGGUGCAAGCGUUAUCCGGAUUUAUUGGGUUUAAAGGGUCCGUAGGCGGAUCUGUAAGUCAGUGGUGAAAUCUCACAGCUUAACUGUGAAACUGCCAUUGAUACUGCAGGUCUUGAGUAAAUUUGAAGUGGCUGGAAUAAGUAGUGUAGCGGUGAAAUGCAUAGAUAUUACUUAGAACACCAAUUGCGAAGGCAGGUCACUAAGAUUUAACUGACGCUGAUGGACGAAAGCGUGGGAAGCGAACAGGAUUAGAUACCCCCGUAGUCCCUGUCUCUUAUAC
rnacentral:rRNA from 1 species